rnacentral:misc_RNA from 1 species
AGCAGCCGCGGUAAUUCCAGCUCCAAUAGCGUAUAUUAAAGUUGUUGCAGUUAAAAGCUCGUAGUUGAAUUUCGGGAUCAAUAUGUUGGUCGUGCCUUGGUACGUACUGGCGUCAUUGGUUUCUACCUUCUGAAGAACCUCGAUGUCAUUAAUUUGGUGUCUUGGGGAAUCAGGACUGUUACUUUGAAAAAAUUGAGUGUUUAAAGCAAGCUCACGCUUGAAUACAUUAGCAUGGAAUAAUGAAAUAGGACGUUUGAUUCUAUUUUGUUGGUUUCUAGGAUCGACGUAAUGAUUAAUAGGGAUAGUUGGGGGCAUUAGUAUUCAAUUGUCAGAGGUGAAAUUCUUGGAUUUAUUGAAGACUAACUACUGCGAAAGCAUUUGCCAAGGAUGUUUUCAUUAAUCAAGAACGAAAGUUAGGGAAUCGAAGACGAUCAGAUACCGUCGUAGUCUUAACCAUAAACUAUGCCGACUAGGGAUCGGAUGAUGUUAAUUUUUAAUGACUCAUUCGGC